AGCCCGGGAGCCGGUGGAGGCGCCAAGAGGGCAGCGCGGCCCCGCCCCCACGCGGCCCUCCCCACGUGCGGGAGAGCAGCGGAGGCUCUGGUGGGCCCGGGGCGGGGUACGGCCGACCGGGCGGGCUGGGCUCCCCCGUGCGAGGCGCGGAGAAGCCUUUCCCGGAUCUCGCACCCCCGUAAUCUGAGCCUGUCCUCUCCCCAGCAUUUCCCUGGCAGCCGGCGAGGGGCCAGGAGGAGCGGAGCGCCCGCGGUGCCUCGCUGCGUACAGCCGAGGAAUCGCCUCUCCAAUGUGCCCCAGCUCACCUGGUCGUCCCUCUCUGGAGUCAGUAGGAAAUUAAAUGCACAUCCUCGCUCGCAGCCACCGCGCGUCCUUCUCCGGGCUGCCCUCAGUUGGCCGGCGCCGCUCCUCCCGUCCUCAGGUACUUCUCCAUGUCUGCAAACGACGGAGAAGCGUUAAUGUCUCCUCGGCGCACACCCGUCUCCAUGUGUGCGCAGGAAUGCGCAUGUAGAAAAGGUUAUACCCUGCCACGCACAGCUACCUCCGCGGCUGUUUCCUGAGAGACUGCGAGAGAGAAGAAAGGCAGGAGACAUCACAUGACCAGAAACCUGGGGAGGUUCAAGUAACUUUUCUACUUGUCGGGAUUUUCACUCAACACAUUGGGGUGGUUUUGCUCUUUGAUCUGGAUUGAGAAAAGGAAAACUGAAUAUUGCUAUGCAUACAAGGUUGUUUUCGGGAUGGUGUGGUUUUUAGAUAAAGUAGUCACACAUUUCAAAGCACUUAAGCUGAAUAUUUCAGGCUUAUUCUCAGAAUUUGGUGGGUAUCCAAGUGUAACAUUAACUAAGCCUCUCAGUAAUGAUUAUUAGAAUGGUCAGUUUGCUGGUUUGAUCUGAAGCACCUUCUAACAGAAGCAGAUUCUUUCUUGCCUUACAUAUAUAAUCAGAGGCUGACCUAAAUGUAGAGUCUUUGCUGGAGGAUGUGAUGAGCAGAUAGGAAGAGGUUUUUCCCUCUAGACAAAAGCCUGAGGACACUCUUGGUACUCUAUAUACUUACAAGAAUAAUAUCAGUAGGUAACGCCUUGAGAUCAUACUGAGUGAACGAAUCAUUUAGGUGGUCUGUCAAGAUGCCACACUACAACCGUCCUUGUGCAAGGUUUUCAGUGAAGGAUGCCGUGAGAAGGAUGGAAAAAGGACCACUUCCUCACUCCCACUGAAGAGGACCCUACAGUUAUUCAUUUCCUCUGCCUGAUGCUCAUGACCCUUGCUCUGCCAGCAGCAGAAUCACACAGUUCUAGCUGCAAUUACUAGAGGACAGUAACUUGAAAACAGCAUAAACAUUCAACCACCAACAAACAUUAAAAGCCUUGUUGGUAUAUCUCAGCAUGGCUGUGGGCUGUAAAACAAGUCUUGUGUGAUUGAUAACAUACCACACAAUCCUUUUGAGCAUCCUGUAAAAGAAGAGCAGACAAGAGUAACACAGUUUGACAGAGACCUCUGGAUAAGUGGUCUCUGUCCUGAAUAAUUGCCACAUGGACAAGGAACUGGCAGGAACACUCUUCACAAAGAACCCUGCUUGUUUUCUCCAGAGCCAGUGCGUAUCUGAAUAAUCAUUUCUGGAUCCAGUAAUGGCAUCCAGCCUGACACAUUUUCUCCUUCUUUUUCAUUUCUGUUCAUUCCACCCUGGCCUACCAGUCAUAAUGUCUGUAUGCUUCCAUUCAUGAUAGCUAGCAGUGAUGACAGUGCUGUUCCUCUUCCUAAAUCCAGCAGGUAGACCUGCCAAGGACCUCACAGCUGUAGGAGGAAAUAAAACUCAGCAGCAACAUCUGUGCCUAGCUCAUUGUAUAACACCUUUAUGCCAAGCCUGCCAAUUUUCUGGUGCCAUGGUAGAAGUAAAUCAAACAGCUAUUAGCUGUAACAAUGGCAGGGAAUCCACAGAUCUUAAAAAUAGUUCUGAGAUCCUUUAUGUCCAAACAGUCUGAUCUUUACCAUCACCACCUCUUUACAAAAAGCUGCAUGGCUUUUUCCUUUUAAAUCUCUGUUAUUCCCUCCAGCAACGUAGUUGGCACAACACUACUUUAUUGCUUGUGUGCCAGUCGCAGUCUCUGAGAACAGUGUUUCCAAAGCCAUUUAAUCAUAGUGUCCAAAGUUAUAAUCUAAACCAAACAUCUUUGAAAAUCAUAUGAUUUGGACUUCAGUAGUAGGCAUUUGCCUAUCUAAUGACAAAGUGUUUUGGACACAGUGUUCCUUCAACCUCUUCUGUGCAUAAAUACGUAGAAGUCCAGGAGUCAUAAAAAAGUUUCCCAUGUGGUUUCUGGAAAGAGAAAAUUGCACUGGAGAUUUCUGAGGAAAGUAACAUUUCAGUUCUAGUAUUUGAUUAAUAUUAAAAUCAAUCAUCUUAUCUUUGUAAUUAAUGAAAAGCUGUCUCCAAAAGAAAUAUAAAGAAAUAAAAUAUAUUUUUGCAAAACAAAAUUCUCACUUUUCUUGAGUUCUACUUUACUGAUAAGAUAUUUUUAAAAAGUAUUUUUUCUAUUCCACAAUAAAAGCAUACCUGUUGAAUUUGAUUGCUCUUCCUGAGAUCUGUAAAUUAGAGAGCUCUAGCUGUUCUACGUCAUAACUUUCUUUGCUACACCCAAUGAAUUUGUAAUUUUUAUGAUGUCUGGAUACUAAUCUUACCAAUAAAUCAGGAAUAGGAAAAUCCUUUA